CUACGGGUGACUGCAGUGAGGAAUAUUGCACAAUGGGGGGAACCCUGAUGCAGCAACGCCGCGUGGAGGAUGACGCAUUUCGGUGUGUAAACUCCUUUUAUAUGUCAAGAAAAUGACGGUAGCAUAUGAAUAAGCACCGGCUAACUCCGUGCCAGCAGCCGCGGUAAUACGGAGGGUGCAAGCGUUACUCGGAAUCACUGGGCGUAAAGGACGCGUAGGCGGGUUGGAAAGUCAGGUGUGAAAUCCUACAGCUUAACUGUAGAACUGCACUUGAAACUUCUAAUCUAGAGUAUGGGAGGGGUAGAUGGAAUUAGUGGUGUAGGGGUAAAAUCCGUAGAUAUCACUAGGAAUACCUAAAGCGAAGGCGAUCUCCUGGAACAUUACUGACGCUAAGGCGUGAAAGCGUGGGGAGCAAACAGGGUUAGAUACCCCCGUAGUC
rnacentral:rRNA from 1 species